UCGAGAAUUUUUCACAAUGGGCGAAAGCCUGACGCAGCAACACCGCGUGAGGGAUGAAGGCCUUCGGGUUGUAAACCUCUUUUAGCAGGAAAGAAACAAAUGACGGUACCUGCAGAAAAAGCACCGGCUAACUCUGUGCCAGCAGCCGCGGUAAUACAGAGGGUGCAAGCGUUAUUCGGAUUUACUGGGCGUAAAGCGCGCGUAGGCGGCUCGUCAAGUCUGGUGUGAAAUCCCUGGACUCAAUCCAGGAAGUGCAUUGGAUACUGUCGAGCUGGAGUACAGGAGAGGAGAGCGGAAUUCCUGGUGUAGAGAUGAAAUUCGUAGAUAUCAGGAGGAACAACAGAGGCGAAGGCGGCUCUCUGGACUGUCACUGACGCUAAGGCGCGAAAGCGUGGGGAGCAAACAGG
rnacentral:rRNA from 1 species